rnacentral:rRNA from 1 species
AAUAGCCCGGGUAGUCCACGCCGUAAACGAUGAGUACUAAGUGUUGGCCUUACGGGUCAGUGCUGCAGUUAACGCAUUAAGUACUCCGCCUGAGUAGUACGUACGCAAGUAUGAAACUCAAAGGAAUUGACGGGACCCCGCACAAGCGGUGGAUCAUGUUGUUUAAUUCGAAGAUACGCGAAAAACCUUACCAGGUCUUGACAUACUCUGCAAUGGCUUAGAAAUAAGUUCGGAGGUUAACAGAAGUACAGGUGGUGCACGGUUGUCGUCAGCUCGUGUCGUGAGAUGUUGGGUUAAGUCCCGCAACGAGCGCAACCCUUAUCGUUAGUCACCAUCAUUAAGUUGGGGACUCUAGCGAGACUGCCAGUGACAAACUGGAGGAAGGUGGGGAUGACGUCAAAUCAUCAUGCCCCUUAUGACCUGGGCUACAAACGUGAUACAAUGGCUGAAACAAAGAGAAGCAAUAGGGUGACCUGGAGCGAAACUCAUAAAAGCAGUCUCAGUUCGGAUUGAAGUCUGCAACUCGACUUC